rnacentral:tRNA from 4 species
GGAGAGGUGCUAGAGUGGUUGAAUAGGCUAGUCUCGAAAACUAGUGAGCUCGCAAGGGCUCCGAGGGUUCGAAUCCCUCUCUCUCCGCCA